rnacentral:lncRNA from 1 species
UUUAUAUUGAAAACAGUUAUUUGUCCUUUUAAAAUGAAAAAAAAAGAAUCAAACAUUUACUUGUUUCUGUUUUACUGACAUUUUGAUGGAUAAAGCUAAAAAGGGAAUGGGGAGCUGGGAUGGUACGAGUUCUUCAGUUCCAUCAGCCCUACUGUGUGAAGCUGAAGUUACUCGGUCCAAAGCAAGACAAGCAUGGAACUUAAAGAUCACAUUAAUUCAUAAAAGUGAAAUCUGCCAAAAGAAGAAGCGAGGUGUGAGGUGAAAAUGCUGCAGUGUAAGUAGUAGGUCAAUGUCAUGGUAUAUAUGGUGAAUGGGGAAAAAUUUGAAGGAUAAACAGCAAGGUGUGAAAUUUGUUGUAUAAUUAUUAGUUGUUGGGAUCAGGCAUAAAAAAACACCCUGUAAAUCUUGAAUAAUGACAAUUUGUCACAGAUCAC